GUGAUAGCCAGCCAAUGCGGUGGAAGACCCACCCGCGCUGGCACCCCCGAGAAAGGACGCCAGACCCCGCAGGUGCGAAGCCGGCUGAGUCAUGAUGGCAAGCCACAGACCAAUGUCUGCCAACCGUUGGCGGAAUUGCUCAUCGUAACGCCACCAGCCUAAGCCGCUGUAAACAUGCGUUCCAAAUGAGAUCCUGGUAGCAGAAAAGAGACGAACAUUUGUCCUGCGCCUUCUUCCCGAUCACACUGGCCAAGAUUGAAAAAGCCUUGAUCCAAU